AGACGAUAAUGUAAAGUAAAAAUGGGUAUAUAUUCUUUCGUGGGACACCACUUAAUAUACCUUAUGCUUUGCCUCGUAGGCUUCUUGAUCACACAGGGGAUUCCCAUAAAAGCCGUUUAGAAUUCACCUCCAUUCCCGGAGGAACGACUUCUUUCCAAUUGCUUCAAUCAUAAGCCAAUGUUCAAACUUCACAUCACAACUUUCUAGCCUUCAAAAGCAUCCCUGAUCACCCAUCAAGCAACAAAAAUCGAGAUCAUACCCUUCAUAUCGUCCAUCAGUUUUCUUAAUGUAUUCCUCAAGCAAACCUCAGAAAUACAUAGACACGACCAUGAAGAACAGUGAGAUAUGCCAUUUCGGUCAUCCUCAACACAAGCUGAGUUUCGAGUACUCACAAUUCCCAUUCAAAUGUGAUGGCUGCAAGGAAGUAGGGAUAGGCUCGCGCUACAAAUGCUCCAUUUGUGACUACGACCUCCACAUGCACUGUGCUUUACCUUCCCCUUCGAUCUACCAUCCAUUCUACCCUAAAUGUUCGUUCCAAUUCCUCUCUCGCCCACCAGGCGACAUACCGCGAUUCUGCAACGCAUGCGAGAAGGGCAUCUCAGGGUUCGUCUAUCACUGCCCUUCUUGCGGAUUCGAUCUCCAUCCAUGCUGCGCGAAGCUUCCAAUGGUGCUCGACGAUGGCGAAAUGAAGCUGUAUCUGUAUCAGAAAGUAAGCUCGGCGUGUCACCGAUGUGGGAGGAAGGGGCGAAGCUGGAGUUACAGAUCAAAGUGCAAGAGCUACAAUCUACACGUGGCUUGUGUGAGGGAGAUGGUGGUGGAGAGUUGGCCUGAGAUUUAUAUGGGAAGCAAGAAACGGAGCAGAUUAGAGAAUGAAAUUCCUAGCUUGAAGAACACGCUUCAGAGUAGCCACAGUAGCAGCAGAAGCAAAGGAAAGGUGAGGAAGUGUUGUGAGAUGGCGGGGAUAGCUGUUCAGUUCGUUGUGUCGGCGGUGUUGGGAGAUCCAACGGCCCUCAUUGGUGGGGUCGUGGGGUCCUUGAUAUCACGUGCUUGAUGGAGUAGCGUGAUAGCGUCCAAUGUUUAUUGAACGGCUCUGUUCUAGAUUUAUACAUCCCGUGUGUGUCUCUGUGUGUAUUUUACACUCACGUAAGUAUUGGCCCAAUAUAUAUAUAUAUAUAUAUAUAUAUAUUAUGUACACACGUAAGUCGGAAGGAACUUUUGUUGCUAUCUGUGUUCAGCAUGAACUUUCUGUUACUUGCAAUUCCAGUGUUCCUUCAUUUGGGAUGGGAAGAUAACGACAUGGAGCAUCAUGGAAUGCCUGUGUUUUUACUCAGUUUGGAGUUUCCGCAAUACUUUCUAACGGUAGUGUGAUCACUUUUUUGUUUCUUAAUUUGACUAGAUCUCUUUCGUUGCUGAGAGUUUGAAACUAACAAUCAGAUAGUUUACGGCUCCAUGAGCAACGUAGCUUUCAUUAAUGUUCUCUCUAGUACCAUUUAUAAGCUAGAUAACAAAAUUUUUGAAUCAUGGGAUGUCAUUGAUAUUUUUUUUAAAAAAAAAGGGUUAUUAGUUUCAAAGUUUUUGCUAAAACAUG